rnacentral:rRNA from 1 species
AUUGAACGCUGGCGGCAGGCUUAACACAUGCAAGUCGAGCGGAAACGAAGAUAGCUUGCUAUCAGGCGUCGAGCGGCGGACGGGUGAGUAAUGCUUGGGAAACUGCCCAGUCGUGGGGGACAACCAUUGGAAACGAUGGCUAAUACCGCAUACGCCCUGAGGGGGAAAGAAGGGGACUCUUCGGAGUUUCGCGAUUGGAUAAGCCUAAGUGAGAUUAGCUAGUUGGUGGGGUAAAGGCUCACCAAGGCGACGAUCUCUAGCUGGUUUGAGAGGAUGAUCAGCCACACUGGAACUGAGACACGGUCCAGACUCCUACGGGAGGCAGCAGUGGGGAAUAUUGCACAAUGGGCGCAAGCCUGAUGCAGCCAUGCCGCGUGUAUGAAGAAGGCCUUCGGGUUGUAAAGUACUUUCAGCGAGGAGGAAAGGUUAACGGUUAAUACCCGUUAGCUGUGACGUUACUCGCAGAAGAAGCACCGGCUAACUCCGUGCCAGCAGCCGCGGUAAUACGGAGGGUCCGAGCGUUAAUCGGAAUUACUGGGCGUAAAGCGUACGCAGGCGGUUUGUUAAGCGAGAUGUGAAAGUCCCGGGCUCAACCUGGGAACUGCAUUUCGAACUGACAAACUAGAGUUUUGUAGAGUGUGGUAGAAUUUCAGGUGUAGCGGUGAAAUGCGUAGAGAUCUGAAGGAAUACCAGUGGCGAAGGCGGCCACCUGGACAAAGACUGACACUGAGGCGCGAAGGCGUGGGAGCAAAACGGGAUUAGAUACCCCGGUAGUCCACGCAGUAAACGAUGUCUAUUAGAAGUUUGUGGCAAUAUGCCGUGGGUUUCAAAGCUAACGCAUUAAAUAGACCGCCUCGGGAGUACGGCCGCAAGGUUAAAACUCAAAUGAAUUGACGGGGGCCCGCACAAGCGGUGGAGCAUGUGGUUUAAUUCGAUGCAACGCGAAGAACCUUACCAUCCCUUGACAUCCAGAGAAUCACCUAGAGAUAGAUGAGUGCCUUCGGGAACUCUGAGACAGGUGCUGCAUGGCUGUCGUCAGCUCGUGUUGUGAAAUGUUGGGUUAAGUCCCGCAACGAGCGCAACCCCUAUCCUUAGUUGCCAGCACGUAAUGGUGGGAACUCUAAGGAGACUGCCGGUGACAAACCGGAGGAAGGUGGGGACGACGUCAAGUCAUCAUGGCCCUUACGGGAUGGGCUACACACGUGCUACAAUGGGCAGUACAGAGGGUUGCGAGCUAGCAAUAGUUAGCGGAUCCCUUAAAGCUGUUCGUAGUCCGGAUUGGGGUCUGCAACUCGACCCCAUGAAGUCGGAAUCGCUAGUAAUCGCGGAUCAGAAUGCCGCGGUGAAUACGUUCCCGGGCCUUGUACACACCGCCCGUCACCCCAUGGGAGUGGGAUGCAAAAGAAGUGGCUAGUCUAACCUUCGGGAGGACGGUCACCACUUUGUGUUUCAUGACUGGGGUGAAG